UACGGGGGGGGCAAGCGUUGUUCGGAAUUACUGGGCGUAAAGGGCUCGUAGGUGGCCAACUCAGUCAGACGUGAAAUCCCUCGGCUUAACCGGGGAACUGCGUCUGAUACUGGAUGGCUUGAGGUUGGGAGAGGGAUGCGGAAUUCCAGGUGUAGCGGUGAAAUGCGUAGAUAUCCCCAAGAACACCAGUUGCGAAGGCGGUCGUCUGGACACAUAUUGACGCUGAGGCUCGAAAGCAUGGGGAGCAAACAGG
rnacentral:rRNA from 1 species